GAUGAACGCUAGCUACAGGCUUAACACAUGCAAGUCGAGGGACCGGCGCACGGGUGAGUAACACGUAUCCAACCUGCCCUUUACUCGGGGAUAGCCUUUCGAAAGCACGAUUAAUGCCCGCUAUAAAGGAUGGGGAUGCGUUCCAUUAGGUUGUUUGUGAGGUAACGGCCCACCAAGCCUUCGCUGGAUAGGGGUUCUGAGAGGAAGGUCCCCAACAUUGGAACUGAGACACGGUCCAAACUCCGACAGGAGGCAGCAGUGAGGAAUAGUGGGCAAUGGGCGUUAGCCGGAACCAGCCAAGAAACGUGAAGGAUGAAGGCUUAUGGGUAGUAAGCUUCUUAUAUAUAAGAAUAGGUAUUAUAUGAAUAAGGAUCGGCUAACUCCGUGCCAGCAGCCGCGGUAAUAC
rnacentral:rRNA from 1 species